AGUUUUCUUCCUCCCUUCUCUUCUCCUCCGUCGACGGAUUCCCCCCUUUCUUCCUCUUCUCUUCGGUGGCUCGGCACCAUGGAAGCCGAAGAAGCCGAAGAAGCUCCGCCCGUCGCCGCUUCUCGCCGCCGUCGUUGCCCACCGAAGUCGGAGCCGCCGCAGCUGCUCCACGGUCGUCCGCGCAUCUCCGCCCUCUCUCCUUCCUCUGGUUCGAACAGAACCGACCAGCAGGAGCAGAAGCAACGAUCGGCGUUGCUUGAAGGAGCUGCAGUCGCGCCGCACGCCGCCUCGCCGUUCUCGGCCCGCGUCGCCUCGCCGUUCGCCGUCCCGUGCUCUGUCUGCCUCGGCCUCUCCCUCGCUCAGCCCUCUGUUUCAGCGAAGUUUCAGAUCUGGUGGAGCUCCGCCGGAGCCGUCCACCCCUCCUCCGGCCACCGUGAAGCCUCGCCUUGGUUUGGUUCGGCCCCUCCGUCCAUUUCCGACCCAACCCAGCUCCGGAUCCGCCCUCAUUCGCCCUUAACCAGCCGCGCACAGAGAGUGCAGGAAAUGGGUUUCUAGCUGGUUCGGGCUCGUUUUGGGUCGUUUCCCGGCCCCGAACCCGAGGCCCGCUUUGGGAACAAUCGUUCCUCGCGUCGCCGCCGUCGGAUUGAUCCGAUUUGCGCGCGAAUUGGACCCCGUUGAGGAGCUGAGGAGGAAUUUGAGAAGGAGAACUCGGAGGUGAAACCUGAGUAGAAGGACUUUUGGAAGAAGAAGAUAAUACCGAGAGAGAUUUUGAGUAUGACUGAAGGGAUUGAGAUUUCAUCUUCUUUUGUGAACUCCAAUUGAUGUGAAUAGUUAUGAAGUUCUUUAGUGGAUGUCAUGUACAAAAGUUUGGUUAUAAAUUUCAAUAUGAAAAAUAUGACCC